AUUGAACGCUGGCGGCAGGCCUAACACAUGCGAGUCGAACGGUAGCACAGAGAGCUUGCUCUCGGGUGACGAGUGGCGGACGGGUGAGUAACGUCUGGGAAACUGCCCGAUGGAGGGGGAUAACUACUGGAAACGGUAGCUAAUACCGCAUAACGUCGCAAGACCAAAGUGGGGGACCUUCGGGCCUCACACCAUCGGAUGUGCCCAGAUGGGAUUAGUUAGUAGGUGGGGUAAUGGCUCACCUAGGCGACGAUCCCUAGCUGGUCUGAGAGGAUGACCAGCCACAAUGGAACUGAGACACGGACCAGACUCCUACGGGAGGCAGCAGUGGGGAAUAUUGCACAAUGGGCGCAAGCCUGAUGCAGCCAUGCCGCGUGUAUGAAGAAGGCCUUCGGGUUGUAAAGUACUUUCAGCGGGGAGGAAGGCGGUGAAGUUAAUAGCUUCACCGAUUGACGUUACCCGCAGAAGAAGCACCGGCUAACUCCGUGCCAGCCGCCGCCGUAA
rnacentral:rRNA from 1 species